CCUACGGGAGGCUGCAGUGAGGAAUAUUGGUCAAUGGGCGCGAGCCUGAACCAGCCAAGUCGCGUGAGGGAAGACGGUCCUAUGGAUUGUAAACCUCUUUUGUCGGGGAGCAAAAGACGCCACGCGUGGCGUUCCGAGAGUACCCGAAGAAACAGCAUCGGCUAACUCCGUGCCAGCAGCCGCGGUAAUGCGGAGGAUGCGAGCGUUAUCCGGAUUGAUUGGGUUUAAAGGGUGCGCAGGCGGAAGAUCAAGUCAGCGGUAAAAUUGAGAGGCUCAACCUCUGCGAGCCGUUGAAACUGGUUUUCUUGAGUGAGUUAGAAGUAUGCGGAAUUCGUGGUGUAGCGGUGAAAUGCAUAGAUAUCACGCAGAACUCCGAUUGCGAAGGCAGCAUACCGGCGCUCAACUGACGCUCAUGCACGAAAGUGUGGGUAUCGAACAGGAUUAGAUACCCGUGUAGUC
rnacentral:rRNA from 1 species